rnacentral:lncRNA from 1 species
AGAAAGACUUUCAGGCCAAAAAGGCAAUGGGAGGGCCCGCCAUAAGCGUGGCUACACCAGUAUUCUAUUACUCUGCCUAUACCAUGGCACCACGCUUUGGAAUAUUGGAAAUAAUUUAAUUGAGAGCAUCGCGUUAAUUUUGGUUUGACUACCAGGCAUUUGGGAUGCUUUUAAUGUGGUGUGUUGGCAAGGACAUCUACAUUCUGUGGUAGUGAGUGAUGCCACAAGAAGCCUGUCUUUUUUCAUGAAGAAGUUGAGCUUUAAAUAUCGGGAAGACUCCUUUGGUUCAAAUAAUAAGGGUAUUAAUAUGAGUAUGCAAUUUUGAUUUUCAUUAUAUAGAAAUUACAAAACCCACCAUUGAAUAAUGUUUGAUUUGUUUUUAAAUGUAUGUGUAACAACCAACGGACAAUGAUUUUUACAUGCGGCAGUAUGAGAUUUUCCAGGCAGAAUUUCUAGCAAAUCAGCAUUUGAUUAACACAACUGUGAGCAAGGACUCAGCCUAGAGAUUGAGAGCCUCAGCAUAUUAAACUAGCCCAUAUUCCAGUUGUAGCACAAAAUUUGUACAAUCGUGAUUUUUCCGAAAUACCUAAGAAAGUCAAGUAAAUAAAGUUAAGUACGAGGCCUAAGUUAAUGUCACGACAAAAGGUAAAUGUCAAAAAGCAAGUCUUGAAGGUUUUACCUCUAUUGAAUAAUUGGGAUUGCCUGUUAGUAUUUUUUUAAAAUAUUUUUUUGUAAGUUUCUAACAUUUUUGCAAUCUUUAGGUGUUUUAAAAGUGAAGAGCGUUUACGAGCAACCGAAAAUUUGUUAUCACUAAAUGAAAUCAUCCAUUUAAAGCGUUUUCUUACACAUUGAUGAUGCAAGAUAAGCUUCUCGCAUUCGCUGAAUUCCUUCCCCGCGGAUUAAAUAUGACAUAUUUAAUUGAUCCAAAUCUAACUGUCAUAGAACGUUCUAUGACUGCUUCUAUCAGCUUCUAUGUAGGGAAAAACCAAUUAAUUAUCGGCGCUUUGUAAGAUACGGCAAUGAUGCACGGUCUUCCGGUCCAUCAGCUGAGAGCCAAACCACAUUGGAUUUAGGAGCUAUUUUCAUCAUCCAGGAAUUAUUAUCACCUUGCUCUUAGACAGGAACCUGAAGCCUGAACAGUGUUUUAUUAAUCUUAAUGCUAUAUAAAUUAAUGUCCUAGUCUUACAUUGUUUAGGUAUUAAGGCUGGAAUGUUAAGUACUCAUCCGUGGGUGGAAAUCUAAUUGACAAAUGUUCAAAUUGGCCAAAUAUCUUGAGACAGAAAAAACAUAGCAUAAGUUUUGCAAAAAGGAAAAAGGAGCUUCUGGCAAGACUGUUCGACAAAAAAGUCUGGAUUAGUUAAAACCAAAGUUUAGGGUGAAACUAAAUGUAAUUUUCACUUCAGAAAGUUAAACCCUGAAAUACCCCAAAAUUAUUUUAUUGUUUCUUUAAGUAAAUUGAAACAUAAAUUGAUAAUCUUUUUUGUUUUUGCCACCAAUUAAUCUUGUUCUUUAGGGUAUCCUAUGUUGAACUGUGUUGCUGAUGAAAUAUCCCCUUAAAGACUUCCUUAAAGAUGAAGUAAGAGCCUUAGGUCGCUAGCUCGAUCUGCUCGCAGAAUUACUAGAACGUCAUAUUCGUGCAUUGUAAAAAAAAAAGGCGUUCAUUCCCUUCAACCAAUUGUUAACCCGCGAGGUCUCGUAGGAAUCUCCCUUACGCCACUUUAAUUGUAGCUGACAGUGACUGUAAUUAUGGCCCAUUUAGCCCAUGGUUAUCAAGAGCUGCCCUCUUGGUUCUCCGACCUAGAAACUUCCAUCGUCAAAAGCUUCCAGGUUUGUUAUGGUCGUAGAACAGCAGACGACGGAGUUGGCGGCGGAAUUUUACCAUCGGGCAGAACCCAAACGGUCGAAGCAUUGAAAAAUGAUAUCGGUGAGACGUAAGUGCUGAUUCAUAUGAUGGUUGAUUAUGCUGCCAACAUGGCAGGAAAGGAGCGUGCCUUGCUUAAUUGGAUUGAAAUCGCGACGUCGGAAGAAGAGCGUCAUCUUCUGGAAGAGUUGUCCAGUUGCAACCAGAAUGUUGCCACGCUACUGCUUAUUCGCAAUGUUGUUGUUCAGGGAGAUUGCCGGAUUUAAAGCUAUGGCGUAGCACUGAGCUGUGAUUAGACACAACCAAUCUGGAAGGUUCUAGCCACCUACGCCCUGAAUUUCAUAUCUAAAUAUUGUAUUUUAUAUUAAUAGGUAAAAAAAAAAGGGGGUUGGAUGGUUGCUUAUUUUUUCGGUCUUAUUUUUGAAACCUGACUGGAAAAAAUUUCUGCUAGAUAGCUAUGUAGAUUCUCCAUCCAAUUAGCGUUCGGAAUCUGUUUUGGUAUCGCUUCUUGGGUUUAAAUCCUUACAGGAUUGAAAGGCUAACUUUGUCGAAUGCUUUAUUUCGUUUACAUCGCCUAUACUUCAAUAAUUUACAAGUGGGGAACUGUUGCCUUUAAGCAACUAGAAGGUAUUGUGCGUGUAUAUAUACGAAUCAAGGCCUAAUGGGUGAGCAUUGGAUUUCGGCGUUGUAUGUUUUUGUAUCAAAUCCCAUCUGAGGUAAAAAGUACGUAAUAUUUGCUGA